rnacentral:rRNA from 1 species
GACGAACGCUGGCGGCGUGCCUAAUACAUGCAAGUUGAGCGAUGAAGCUUGGUGCUUGCCCCCAUUUGAAGAGCAGCGAACGGGUGAGUAACGCGUGGGGCAUCUGCCUUUGAGCGGGGGACAACAUUUGGAAACGAAUGCUAAUACCGCAUAACAACUUUAAACAUAAGUUUUAAGUUUGAAAGAUGCAAUUGCAUCACUCAAAGAUGAUCCCGCGUUGUAUUAGCUAGUUGGUGAGGUAAAGGCUCACCAAGGCGAUGAUACAUAGCCUGCCUGAGAGGGUGAUCGGCCACAUUGGGACUGAGACACGGCCCAAACUCCUACGGGAGGCAGCAGUAGGGAAACUUCGGCAAUGGACGAAAGUCUGACCGAGCAACGCCGCGGGAGUGAAGAAGGGUUUCGGAUCGUAAAACUCUGUUGGUAGAGAAGAACGUUGGUGAGAGUGAAAAGCUCAUCAAGUGACGGUAACUACCCAGAAAGGGACGGCUAACUACGUG